rnacentral:lncRNA from 1 species
AAAAAAUAAUAGCCUUUCAUCAGGUCUAUUAAGUCCCUAUAUAACCCUUAGACACCAAAUGAAAUCAUCCAUAGGGCCUUUAAACAAUACAUAAGCAUGUCUAAUAGAAAUAAAAAAAUCGGCCGCAUGCAAAACAGUCAGAUCUUCUUCUUGCCUUCUCUUUCUUGGAGAGACCCCAUGGGAGAGGGAGAGGGAAGAUUUCACAUAAGGAAAAAUAGAGACGAUAAUAGGGUUUCAGGAGAGGGAGGGCAUAUGAUAGGCAUGGGCAAGAGAAUAACCAGAUGAAAAGGGAGCAAAGCCCUGCAUAUUGUCAUUCAAAAUAAUUUGCAAUUGAGUGACUUGAUUUUUGGAUUGCAAUUUGGGUGUUUUUUGAUAACUGAAAGGAGAUAAUCAAAC